ensembl:lincRNA
CUCCCCUGGCGCUGCCCGCUCCCGCGCUUCGUACUGCUUCUUCUGGUCCCCACGCCUUCGCGGGUCAUGAGCUUGCCAGAGGGGCCCCUCAGCUCGAGUUCCCCGACAGGGGUAAGCGCGGGGAGUGUGGGAUUCGCUGUGAGGAACGGGCGUCCCCCUUCACCCACCAAGCUUUUCCGCUAACACUGAUGGUGAACUGUCCCCUGCGCAGCGCUAGGACCGUCACCUUCUCUGGGCCAGUCCUGCUGCCAGUACUUUCAGGACCCACGCAGAAAAGCUGGCUGUGGAAUUCGAAACCCUCACACUCCUGGGAUUAGAACAGAAAUCGGUCGGGCCGCAAGAGGCUUUUCACUGGGAGUAGCUAAGACUCAAACCUCUUACUUAGCUGAUAAGGCUCCCAAGAGAGGCCUCUCGGAAGUUAUGAUAGGCGCUUGACUCCACGCUUGCCUACCCAGUUUGAUCCCCAGGUCGCUCAAGGUGAAAGGCGAGAGCCACCGAUUUACAUAAAUUGCCCUCUGACCUCCAUACAUGUACCUUGGACAUCCAUGCUUGGGGAAGCCAGGUAUGGUGGCUUUGAACCCAACACUCAAGAGGCGGAGGCAAGAAGAUCUCUAGUUGAGGCCGAGCUCUUGGACUACUAUGUAGACUGUCUCAAAAAAAAAAAAAAAAAAAAAAAAAAAAAGUUAAAAAUAAAAGGGGGAGGGGAGCUAGGCAAUGCUUUUUACUUGAUCCAAUCAGAAAAGGAAGAGCCUCCCUAGCAGAUGCAAUGGAGCUAUUAAUGUCAGUUUUUUGAAAUACAGGUUUAUCAUCAAACGACUAUGUAAUGAUGACCUUGAACUUCUGACCACGCAUACCUCUACCUCCGGAGAGUGCGGGCAGGGGUGGGGGUGGGGCGAGGUUACAGAAGUGCAGUGCAUACCAGGCCCCCAACACCUCCUGGAGCCUUAAGGAUGCUGAAACAGCCAUGGCCCACGCUUGGGUAAGGAGAAUGAGGAAGUGACUUUGGAGUUCCAUGGGUGGAUGAUGGGCCUUAGGGGCAGCAGCUCAGCGAAGUGGGCUCAGGGUAUGUACCCGUGGUUUGUCGCUAGUGGAGGCUUUGAAACCGGUUAGGCUUGCUGCCUACCCAUGUGGAUCCUCAUCACGACCGGUCAGUAUGUGUCAUGCUGCUUAAUGCGCAGGUUCAGCCUCCACAGGCAUCUCCACAAGGCGGGUCUCUGUCCGUGGAUGAUGUCAGCUAAACUGACCUGCAAGGAACCCCUGGAUGAUGCGAACCCCAGAAUUUGAAGAGCUACCACGGGGUGGGAGCUGGGGCAGGCUGUAACUUUGUUGGUAGGACCCUUCAGUGCAUGUGGCAAGCCCGGCGUUCAGUCUCCAAAUAAAAAAGACACGAUGCACUCGGAAGAUGGUGGAGGUGGUGCUGGGAAUUCAGGGUCAUCCUCCACUCCAUAAGCAGAGUGUGAGGCAGCCUAAGCCACCCCACUGGUCUCAGAAGCUGCCAGUGUGUACCUGCUGGGUUUGUGUGUCACCUGACACCAGCUGGCAUUAUCAGAGAAAGGAGCCUCCCUUGAGGAAAGGCCUCCAUCAGAUCCAGCUGUAAGGCAUCUGCUCAAUCAAGAGUAGGAGGGCCCAGCCCAUUGUGGGUGGUGCCAUCCCUGGGUUGGUGGUCCUGGGUUCAAAAGCAAGCUGAACAAGCCAGUGAACAGUACCUCUCCACGGCCUCUGCUUCAGCUCCUGCCCCUAGGUGAGUUCCUGUCCUGAAGUCCUUUGGUGAUGAACAGCAAUGAGAAAGUAUAAGCUGAAUAAACCCUUUCCUCUCCAACUUACUUCUUAGUCAUGUUUUGUGAAGGAAUAGAAACCCUGACAAGACAGGGCUAGAGAGUAGAUUCCAUCACUUAAGAACAUGUGUUGGGCUGGAGAGAUGGUUAAGAGCACUGUCUGCUCUUCCAAAGGUCCUGAGUUCAAUUCCCAGAAACCACAUGGUGGCUCACAACCAUCUGUAAGGGGAUCUGAUGCCCUCUUCUGAUGUGUCUGGAAACAGUGUACUCAUGCAUACAAUAAAUC